UAGGGAAUCUUCCACAAUGGGCGCAAGCCUGAUGGAGCAACACCGCGUGAGUGAAGAAGGGUUUCGACUCGUAAAACUCUGUUGUUGAAGAAGAACGUGCGUGAGAGUAACUGUUCAUGCAGUGACGGUAUUCAACCAGAGAAGUCACGGCUAACUACGUG
rnacentral:rRNA from 1 species